rnacentral:rRNA from 1 species
CGCCCGAAGCUUCCGGCUGAGGGCACGUUUGCCUGGGUGUCACACAUGGCGUUGCCCCUAACCCCUCGCCUUGAAUUGGGCGGGCGGGACUUGGGUGCGUACGUUGGCCUCCCGAGAUGACCUUAUCCCGGUUGGCCCAAAAUCGAGCGUUGGAGCGAUUAGCACCACGACAUUCUGUGGUUGAUGAGACCCCAAUGAUCAAUGUCGUGCGUGUCGCUCAUGCACAUGCUCCACGAAUCUACCUUUCACCAACGCGACCCCAGGUCAAGCGGGGCUACCCGCUGAGUUUAAGCAUAUCAAUAAGCGGAGGAAAAGAAACUAACAAGGAUUCCCCUAGUAACGGCGAGCGAACCGGGAAGAGCCC